rnacentral:rRNA from 1 species
AAUAGAUACCCAGGUAGUCCACGCCGUAAACGAUGGAUACUAGCUGUAGGGGGUAUCGACCCCUUCUGUAGCGAAGCUAACGCGUUAAGUAUCCCGCCUGUGGAGUACGGCCGCAAGGCUAAAACAUAAAGGAAUUGACGGGGACCCGCACAAGCGGUGGAUCAUGUUCUUUAAUUCGGUGCUAAACGAAGAACCUUACCAGGGUUUGACAUCCUUGGAAGCUCUGCGAAAGCAGAGUGUGCUUUAUUGAACCAAGUGACAGAUGAUGCAUGGCCGUCGUCAGCUCGUGUCGUGAGAUGUUUGGUUAAGUCCAUCAACGAGCGCAACCCUUGUGAUUAGUUGUAUUUUUCUAAUCAGACUGCCCCGGUAACGGGGAGGAAGGAGGGGAUGAUGUCAGGUCAGUAUUUCUCUUACAUCCUGGGCUAGAAACGUGAUACAAUGGCAAGUACAAUGCGAAGCGAAGCCGCGAGGUGAAGCAAAACCGCACCAAAAGCUUGUCCCAGUUCGGAUAAGAGGCUGAAACUGCCUCUUUG